rnacentral:lncRNA from 1 species
AGUUUGAUUUUUUUUUCCUAAUGUUUAAUUUGAAUAAUAAUUUUAAAACCCUCUGGAUAAUACAUUUAACAUUCAGAAUAUUUUUCUAAGAUAUCCUUGAUGUUCUUUAGGUAACCUUAGUGCCUUUAACUUGUGAUCUGUAAUUUUUAACUGCUUGAGAUACUGAAGGAACAAGAGCUAAAGCACAGAGAUGAAUAAAUCUGAGUUGGUCAUCUCGAGACCAUAGGGAAAUACUUGUAAAAUGUCAGCUGUGGGUUAGGCAAGAUGGCACGGGGUCAAGGUUCUUGUCACUGUACCUUGAGUCUUGAGUUCCUUUCCUAGAACCUAGCAGAGCUCCAUGUACCUAAUGUGGCUGAAAACCCUACACACACACACACACACACACACACACACACACACACACACACACACAAAUAUGUGUAAAAAAAAAUCUCUGUUAUAACCAACUGGAGCCAAGGAGGACGGAGUGGGAUAUUUAGAAAUGAGGUGGGUAAGACAAUGUAAGGCACAGACAGCGGCUUAAAGGGCUAGAGACCACCGGUGGGAACAAGAGAGCCUCACCCAUAAAUGCACUCAUGGUUAAAAGAUAUUCUUAAAACUAACUAACUCGUUUGUUCCUGUCGCCAGCUUUCCUAUUACAGGGUGACAGAUUAUUGUCCAUUCAGCAAUGAUUUUUCCCAAACUAGCUUUCCAACUUCAACUAUGUGGUUUGGGCUUUAUCGAUGCAAACCUUUUUCAUUUGGACAGGGGGAUACAUGGCAAUAAACUACAACUUCACCACCUUCUCUACCAAAUCUCAGAGUGUCACCACAUGCUGAACACUUGGUAUCAAACAUUGAAAGGUGACAGCAUGGGGCUGGAGAGAUGGUUCAGCGGUUAAGAGCGCUGGCUGCUCUUCUGAAGGACCCGGGAACUCUGGGCACUCACAUGGCCACACUCGCACCUAUCUGGAACUGCAGUUCCAAGGUCCUGAUGCCCUUGCCCGAAGCAUGCAGGUUAAGAUGGUCACUGCCUCUUACCAAAUACCUAAUCUGUAAAUGGAGCAAUAGUUAGUCUUCUAAUUGUCACCUGAGUGUCAUUAAUCUUUUUUAUAGUUAAGAAAAUGAACACUCAGAAAUUUUAUAACACAGCCAAGACUAUGACUUGUUCUCACCAUAUGAAUAUCUCUACUCUUUCCAUUCAUGGCCUAUUGCAGACCCAGGCUGCCCUUUGAGAUGCUGAGGUACCAGAGGCUGAAAGUAGCCAGUACCCAGAGCCUCCCACGCCACACUCCUUCCCUGAAGCAGACCCUCCCGCUCAUCUCCAGGAUCUGAAAAUGAAAGGGUAGACUCCACUUGAACCUGCUCCAGUCAAGUGAUGUGUCCAGGAUUUCAGCAAAUGUUAAAUAUUGAUAGGUCUGAUCAGGAGGGCACACAUCUCAGAAGUAGAGUUAGAUGUGGGGUUCAUGCUGGCUGGGCUUUAUAGCUGGGUGGUAGGCUACUUGCCUAGGAUGCAGAAGGCCCUGGGUCUAACCCUCAAAUCUUCAAAAUUUCAACAAAACAAAAUAACGUGCACAGAAGAAUAGACAAUAUCUGUACUAGUAGUCAAGGUUCAGUAGAGUAACAGAAAUCUAAACGUGUCUGUGUGUGUGGUAUUUAUGGUAUUUAUUAUUAGAAUGACUUAUAGGCUGUGGUCCAACUAGUCUAACAGUGACUGCCUAUGAACAGAAGAAUCCAGUAGAUGUUCAGUGCUUGAGGCUGGAUGGUUCAGCUGGUCUUCAGUGUAUGCUGGAAUCUGGAAGAAAUGGGCUCUAGUACCAUUAAAGGAAUGGGCUUGCUGUUGUGUUUUAUAAAAAGAAGCCAGGCUAUGUUUGGUAGAGUACUCACAGUAUGGUGAGUUGUGGGGGUGCCUCAGUGGGGCCAAGCUAAUGCAUUCCUUCCCUCUGAGGUACCAGCCAUACAAGGGGUUUAGUAUAGAAUAGAGUUUAUUUAGGGCAUGGGAAGGGGAGUUGAGAUGGG